rnacentral:rRNA from 1 species
UACGUAGGGAGCAAGCGUUGUCCGGAAUCAUUGGGCGUAAAGCGCGCGUAGGUGGCCUCGUAAGUCCGCUGUGAAAGUCAAAGGCUCAACCUUUGAAAGCCGGUGGAUACUGUGGGGCUAGAGUACGGAAGAGGCGAGUGGAAUUCCUGGUGUAGCGGUGGAAUGCGCAGAUAUCAGGAGGAACACCAAAGGCGAAGGCAGUGUCCUGGGGAGCGCCUGACGCUCAGGUGCGAAAGCCAGGGGAGCGAACGGG